GAUGAACGCUCGCGAUAGGCUUAACACAUGCAAGUCGAGGGGCAGCAUGGUCUUAGCUUGCUAAGGCUGAUGGCGACCGGCGCACGGGUGCGUAACGCGUAUGCAACUUGCCUCACAGAGGGGGAUAACCCGUCGAAAGACGGACUAAUACCGCGUACACUCUAUGUUGGGCCUCCAAUGUAGAGGAAAUGAACUUCGCUGUGAGAUAGGCAUGCGUCCCAUUAGCUAGUUGGUGAGGUAACGGCUCACCAAGGCGACGAUGGGUAGGGGAACUGAGAGGUUGAACCCCCACACUGGUACUGAGACACGGACCAGACUCCUACGGGAGGCAGCAGUGAGGAAUAUUGGUCAAUGGGCGAGAGCCUGAACCAGCCAAGUCGCGUGAAGGAUGACUGUCUUAUGGAUUGUAAACUUCUUUUAGACGGGAAUAACAAGAGUCACGUGUGGCUCCCUGCAUGUACCGUAUGAAUAAGCAUCGGCUAACUCCGUG
rnacentral:rRNA from 1 species